UCUUGUAAAUAGGUACUUCUUGAUUGCUUUAAAGAUCUAUCAGGAUGACUUGGAAGGCAGAAUGAAGAGGAAAGACCUGUGAUUGACCAACACCAGUGUGGGAUCAAUCUUGUUCAUUACUCCGUGUUCAUCAGUGAAUUAGAGCUCUUCAGGCAGUGAACCAGAUGUACACUCCAGCCACCCGUGAAGGACCACUGAAGGCAUCACUCUCUGGUUACUACCACCCUCCACUUUGCAUUCUCCCAGUGCCUUCGGUCCCAGUGGUUUCUGGGGAGAAGUCACUACACAGUUCCUGGUCUCCAGUGUCCGUCCAGGUCAGCUUUCGUAUAGGCUUUACCCUAGAAUCUGUAAGUCCUUCCACCAAAAACAGUUCCAGUAAAUUCCAUUUGGUUGUUUCCCUUUGUAAGGAAAAACUGCUCUGGUGUUUUUUGACAAAUGACAUCCUGCGGUCAAAUUAAUCAAGUUAUUGAUGAACCCUGAGCCACAAAGUCAGUUUUCAACAGCUGAAGAUUUUAUGGUUUCCCCUGCCUGUGCAGCUGUAAGUGUACUAAGGUGGCUCCUCAGGCAAGCUCUCCCUCAGUCCACAGAAGGAGCUUUGACAUGCAUGUAGAAUUUCAAGGCCAUAUCCCUUCUUUCUUCCUCCAGAUUGUAUACAUGAGAUAGUCUGUUCAAGUCAGACCUUCAGAGUUCUAAACUUGGGUGUGUACAACAUCCAGAGCUCCUGGAACAGGCUGUCUGGACCUCACUGGAGAGCUCCUGAUGGAGCAGUUGGGUGAAACUCAGAACUCCACGUUGAUAACAAGUGUCCCUGGUGGGGCACGUGCUCCCAAGAGUCACUGUGAAAAACAUCUGACAGAAAAUUACAUAAAAUUCCCAUUUUACCAAAUAUUAAAAGGGAUACAUCUGCUUCUGGAUAAGACAGUGUGGCAGGAGCCAACCAGAACUGUCAAAAAGAAAUACCCAAGUGUAUAUGAAACAAUGAUUUUCAAGACUGGGCAUUAAGGCAAAGAAGGACGGUAACAUGGAGAGUCAAGAAAACAGAAGUUCUUAUGAUUGCCCAGCUCACUGUCUUGAGAGUCUGUAGACCCCAGAGCAAUGAGGAGCCACCCAGGGCAGAGAGGAGCCACCCAGGGCAGGGAGGAGCCACUCAGGUGGGAUCUGGGCACUCCCUGAGUUAAUCCAAGAGAGCAGAGUUUGCAGGACAAAGCCGGGGCCAGUAGAAUGCUGCACAGAAAGACGGGGAGCACUCACAGAAGAUCUGCAGGGGGAUCCCCUAGAAUCUUCAGCUGAGAACUAACAGCUGAGCAUCCCUGUGGAAUUCAGAUGCCAGUAAAGAGCUGUUAGGAAGGUCUAGAAGGAACCGUAUCUGUGUCAACAAUGGCUCUGGUCCCACCAACUAGACAGAAAACCUUAAAAAUCCAUGACUUUGAUAAAGUACUCAGGAUCUUGCCUCAACAACAGAGAAAAAUCAUCUCUAAAUUCUGUGCCACUCUGGCCUUGCUAGCUUUACAAGUGGCCCCUGAAGCAUCCCAGUGGUCAAAGUAAUUCAGCUGCCAUGUGUAGGAACACAAAAUGGUUGGUUUCAAAAGGUCAGAUGUGUCAGAACACCUUUGCUUAUUUUUCUAUGUAGCUUUUAAAUCAUCUUGUAACUCUUUUUCUUUUACAAAUGUAGCUAUCAGGGCUAGAGAGAUGGUUCAGUGAUUAAGAGAGCACACUGGUCUUCCAGAGUACCCGAAUUCAGUUCCAGCACUUAGGCAGGUAAAGAUCUGUCUCUGUGGGCACCUGCACUCACAUACACAUACCCACACAUAGACAUACACACA